rnacentral:piRNA from 1 species
UGUGUUACCUCACUCAGGAUGA